CGCGCCGAAGCGCGCGGCAGCACCCCCGCCCUAGGGCGCCUACCAGAGGGGUCAAAGGGCAAAAGAGAGAGCCCCACCCCCACCACGCCCGCCUCCGCCGGGCCGAGCAGGACUCUCUAACACCUGGGGACAUCCUGCUGCUGGGGGCAGAUCUUAUGCCCAAGAGAAGGACAUACUCUUGGGUGUCUGGACAAGGAAAACAUGCGUGAAAAAUCAACGAUUCUUCUUAGACCCCUCAGGCAAGUGAAGUCAUGGAGCAAACCACGACCCCAUAAUUGGAGAGACAGAGUAAUACCAAAAAUCACAACUUACAGCCUCAGAAGCCCAAAGGAUAUGCAUUGAGGACUCUUCAUCUAAUAGCCCUGACCCACGCAGAAACUGCUCCCAAGAAUCAAGCGCAGGCUUUUUGGCCACUCAGGUUCCAAGAAAAGCAGCCUUAUGGACUCUCUCAAGUGUGGGCUGCUGAGGAGCUUUCUCAAAAGCAAUGGCAAACUGCCCCAGCAAUAGCAAAAGAAGGGCUCCACUGAAAUCACAGCCACAGACACAAUGGUCCAUCAUCGUCACUGUGCCUGUUGCAGAAUUGCCUCAUGUUCUACUCAGGCUCUGCCCUUAAAAACAAAGCUUGGACUCACACAAUUCCAAGCAUAGCACAGAUCAAAUACUGGCAUCAGGAGGAAUCCUCACCUCUUAUACCUUCUUCCUGGAAUGCUGCAGGGUGUUGCAGAAAAGGAAAAUGCAGUGGAAAGGCUGGAGAGAGAAGGCCAAGGCUGGGAGCCUUUGGUGACAAGCUGAAGAACCCACUCCAAGUUGUCCUGCUGGCUUCCAUGCUGACAUCAUGAAUGUUCCCGAACCAGCUGGAGGCAAGUUUGGAUAUGACAGAGAUACAUCAUUGCUGAAAGAGAUCAGGAGUAGGUGAGGAUCAGGUGCUGGGUCUCCAACCCAGGGGCAGGCUCUUAUCCCAGGGAACUGAAUCAGGGCUGUGGAAACCACAACAGGAACAACUUGAACCAGGAAAAGAAUUAAAGGCCUUUCUUGCUUGCUUA